GAGUCCCUGGGAAAAGUCAUUUAGUGCCUAAAAAAGAGAGUUGUGAUCUUCUUGAUCUUUGAGCCCAGGACAAUCAUACUUAUUAUGUACUUCCUCUUGCAGUCUUUCCCCAUGGUGUGCAGAUCCCUUAUGAAACUCUGGAUCUUCAACAGUUGGACAGGUCUCAAGCAGAGAUUAACAAUUGUCUAUGCAUCUCUUGUGAUGUCAUUGAUGAUGGGCUGUUAUAUCUAAAGCCAGAACCAAUUGUGGAGGUCAUCUAAAUGAAGAUACUAAGUCCCAAGGAAGGGAAGUGAUUCGUUCAAGGUCACACAGAUACUAAGAACUACUCUAGAUAAACUCAUAAGGCUAGAGAUGAGAUGAUACUUUUUUUUUUUUAAGGAAGGCAAGAGAGAGAGAUCAACUGUGCACCCUGGAAUCUUCUCUUCCCUCAAGAUUCCAAACAUUUACCAUCCCCCGCUAUGGAUGCAAACCUGGUCUUGUCCUCCAAGCUCUGUCCCUCAAAGUCUCUUGAUCAUUCCUAUAUCACAAAUGCAUCAACAGAGAUGAUACUCCAAAGAAACAAUAGAACAUAGGAAUCUUGUAUACUUUUUGGGCAACUUAGGACAUCAAACCUAAACUGACAGGUUGUAAGCAGGCUUGGGAAAGAGGCUAUAGCCAGGGACUAGGGUACCUGGGAGUGGUCUACUAUAAUAUAUACUAAAAGGAUGAUUCCUACACAGGUGUUGGUCUUCUUGGAAUGGAUCUCUGAUAUAAUGGGGGAAAUGUCUAAGACUAAAAUGAUAUUUAACAUUCGAUUAGAUCUACUAGCCCCACUUAAGCUGGGAUCAUCAAAUACUUUAAGGUUUAUUGUUCAGUCUGAAAUGAGGGAGUCUGGGACUUCCCUCUAGUGAGUUCUCAUGGGACAGGGGCAAAUUCAGGGCUCCCCCCCCAAAAAAAACCCAGUUGACAAUACCAGUCUUUAAAAAGCACUUCAAAAAGAUAGGAAUCUAAAUCUAACAGCAAGAUGGAAUCAUGGGACUCUCCCACUGAACAUAAUGUGAAAGUGCCAAUGACCACUCCUAGAUUCCAAGAAGAUAAAAGAUGUCCAAGUGAUGAAAACCCUAGCAUCACUGAGAAGUUCCUGGCUCCAUCCAUUAGCAUUUUCAAGGGUCAAUGAACAUCAUCCCCUUUGCAUAAAUCUUAGGAUCCAUCUACAGUUCCAGAAGUGAUUACUAGUUUCAUAAAUAUGGUAUCUACUCUGGAGUUCUUGAGGUUAUUGUUGAAUUCCCCCCUCCAUUUCUGGAAUUUUAUUUUAAAUUUGGCUUCAACAUCAACCCAACUUUGCUAUAAAUAGCCUAGCUUGUCUGCUUAGUUUGACAGAAAUGAUAAAUCUCUGCAGAGACAUACAGCUAACAUGAAAUAAAUGUACAUUCAAUUAAUGCAGAAAUGACUUCUCUUGGGAGGGUGGAUUCUGUCUUGUCUUCUACUUUGAAUAUUCUAAAGCAGCAGAGCCAAUCCAUGCUGGUUUCAUUCUUUGCUGCCACAGCUAGAGGGUAAUCCUAAUUGAAAUAUUUCAGCUCCUUAGAAAUAAGAGCACUGGGACUUCCAGGGGACCUCCUUGAGGCCUUAGGAUGUCAUCACAUGCAU